CAGUAGUAGUAGUAUUAGUAGUAGUAGUACAGUAGUAGUAGUAUUAGUAGUAGUAGUACAGUAGUAGUAGUAUUAGUAGUAGUAGUA